GGGAAGUGUAAUUGUGCCUAAUUUGCCUUCGACGAUUUUCAACUUUUUGGAUCAUGAAGAUUGGCAAAUUCAUUAUUCUGUUGUUACUGCGAUUGGGGUUAUAUCGGAGGGUUGUUCAAAGGUGAUAGUAAUAUGCUCAAAGGAUAUGAAGCACCUUGUAGAGACUAUAGUGAAACUAAUCUUUGAUAAUCACCCUCGUGCGCGAUGGGUAGUGAUUCAUGCAGUUGGUCAGCUAUCAAUACAUAUGAGCCCGCAGUUUCAAGAACCAUAUCAUUAGCUGGUUCUUCCAGAUUUGAUAACAAUAUUGGAUGAUUUUGAUAAUCCCAGGUUGCAGGUAAAUUCUUGAUGUGAUGUUGAUGUUUCAAUGUUAUAGCAUCUUGUUAAUGACAUAUGACCGAUGUAUUGACUCUUUGUUCUCUAGUUGAACAGUUAUAUAGCGUGGCAAGUACAUGUCGUUGCCUACUAAUCUUUCUUGUUUGAAUAGGCACGUGCAACUUUAACGAUACUGGUGUUCAGCCACAAUUGAAGUGCAGAUAUUUUGAAACCUUACCUGCACAAUAUAGUGAGUAAACUAGUCAUGUUUCUACAGAGUGGAAUGACAAUGAUGAACGAAGCAGCUCUGGAAACUUUAGGAUCUUUAGCUAUUCAAUCACAGGAGGGCGCUGCAUACAUAUAUGAUUCUGUAAUGCCUCACCUGAAAGUUAUCUUGGUAGCUGCUACUAGUGAUACAAGUCAAACGCUCCAUGCCAAAUACUU